GUGGAUACAGCUCAGUGGUGGGGCGCAUGCUUAGCACACGUGAGGUCCUGGGUUCAAUCCCCAGUACCUCUA
rnacentral:tRNA from 1 species